AUUUUAAGGUCCUUGAGGGAUUGCAUCAUGUCUGCAGUGCUCCCUGCUAUGUCUUCAGCCAACUGCUAGCACAAGGUUCUGGCCCUGUCACCCAGGCUGGAGUUCAGUGGUGCGAACUUCGCUCACUGCAUCCUCGACCUCCUGGGCUCAAGUGAUCCUCCCACCUCAGCCUACCAAGUAGCUAGGACUACAGGGUCUCACUCCGUCACUCAGGUUGGAAUGCAGUAAUGGAAUCAUGGCUCACUGCAACCUCGACCUCCUGUGCUCAAGCGAUCCUCUCGCCUUAGCCUCCUGAGUAGCUGGGACCACAGGCACGUGCCACCACACUUGGCUAUUUUUUUUUUCUUUGUAGAGAUGUGGUUUCCAUAUGUUGCCCAGGCUGGUCUUAAACUCCUGGGCUCAAGCGAUCUUCCUGCUUCAGUCUCCCGAAGUGUUAGGAUUACAGGCAUGAGUCACCUUGUCCAGCCCCAUUCUCUUUUAAUUCUUCACUUUUAAAUCACAACAUGUAGUAUAUGUCUUUACACAUUGUCCCUUGUAACAUAAGUGAUUAGGGCUUCUAAAAGGAAGACUACAUGCCUAAAACAUAAUAUGCAUCUAUUAUAUUCAGUAGUAGAGAACACUUUGGAGGCACAGGACAGAAAGGGAGGCAAAAGUAAAAUUAAAAAGAUGCUGUUAUUUUAAUAAAUGGACUCAACCUUCAACAAUUACUUGCUAUACGCAUUCAUUCUAAGCAAUGGUAUAUUGACCCUAAACUGCGUAAGCAAGACUUCAUGAGGAAAAGCACAUCUACACAUUUUAGAUAAACACAGCAAUAACUAUCCUCAUGAAAUAGAUGCAACCCCCAUUUCUGACCCACCUCCUGCUUUUUCUAUCACCAUUCCUUUCAUAUGAGUAUUUCUACAGGAUAAGCAAAUCCAUAAUCGCACUAUAUUUCCCAAGACGAUCAGGAGACUCUGCUAAGAAGAAAUAAUUGAAGUGCAUACUAUGCGGCAGACAUGCUGUUUGCCUGCCCAAAAGUCGUAUUUACGUAAUUUCCCAGCUUCCACUACAGCUACGACAGGGAUGUGAGAUCCAUGCUGGCCAAGGGAACUUGAGGGAAAGCCAACUUUGGGGACUGUGGAAAUGGUUUCCCUCCUAAUGAAAAGAGACACUGGCCUUCCUGCCUUUGGGCAGGGUUGUGUGAAGUUAUGGUGCCUGGCUGCCAUCCUGUGACCAUGAAGGGACAAGUCCCCAGGCUGAGGAUGAAAGAAAGAGCCCGUGUCUUUGAUUUCAUCAAUGAACCGACUACCUCUAAAUUUCCUGUUAUGUGAGAUAACAAGCCCCUAUCAUUAUACCUUUUAGUUGGGUUUAAAAUGCUUGAAGCAUUUUUAUUAUUUAUUUAUUGAUUAUUGAUUAAUUGAUUGGUUGAGACAGGGUCUUGCUCCAUUACCCAGUUUGGAGUGCAGUGUCAUGAUCAUACCACACCACAGCCUUGAACUCCUGGGCUCAAGCGAUCGUCCCACCUCACCCUCCUGAGUAGCUGGGACUACGGGCAUUACGUUUUAAAUUGAACUGCAAAAGAGAAACUGGGACAUUCAGAAAGUUGAGCAAGAAUAAGGAAUUUCUCCUAGCAUCAUCUAAUUUGAACCUGCACUGUCCCCUACAGUCUAGACUUGAAUUUCAUGCUGAGAGAUGAAAAGAGGCAUUUAUGGUAAAGGUCUAUCAUUUAUAUUUGGUUUUUAAUAGACAUUUAAAACAGUCAUAUAUACUCAUCUAUACUGUUGAUUCCCCGAAAGUCAAAUUGAGAGUGAGGAGCAGAGGAUACAAAGGGAAAUCACAGGUAAUUAAAGAAUCUUACACAGGGUUAAUGCAUUUUCAGAUCAUCAGGAAUCUGUUCUCUAUUUUGUUUAGUAUGAGAAGUAUCUUUAUUAUUCUAGGUCAAAACAAACAUGGGUUUAUCUGUAGAAAAUGAAGUUAUUCACAGCAAAGAAUAAAAUGACUCAAAACUAACUGUUUUAUUUUGGCAUAGUACUAGUCUCAGUCAAAAAUGUCAAAUCCUCUUUGGCACCAAUAUAUCUUUACCUAAUCUUCAUGGUUGAACAAAAUGAUAAUAUAAGAUACAAUUUAGGGGGAAGAAAGUUGUUAAUUAUGUACCUCACUAAUCUAAAAUAUUUCCAAAACAAGCUCAAGAUUCCUUACAGCCCAAAACAUGCAAAUAAAGAUUUGUAACAUCUUUUUGAAGUAGCUAUGUUUUGGCAUAAGAAUAAAGAGUCUCUGUUUUAGAAGGUGAAUUAUUUAAAAUAUGAAUAAUUCUCCAUAGCUUACCCAGUUUUAUUUUUUACAUCAAUUGACCUACCAAUAAGAAAGGUUACUGGUUGCAGGUAGUCAAUUUCUUUGUAAUGAAAGGGUUAAAAUAUGCUAUUUUGGCAUAUUUUUAAAGGUAAAGAAACUCGAAAAAUAGCAGGUGCAUGAAGAGCACUUUGCCCUUUGUGCUGUUUCUUAGGAGAGAAGAUGAAAUUCCAGUAUGAAAGGCACUCUGUACUAGAAGGAAAGGCAACAUCCUAAGCUUCAAAGACAAGAAGUAGAAUACUGUACAGACCUUGCUAAAAUUUAUUAUUUAAGUCUCCCCGCAUAAUUUAGUCACACAAUGUCAAUUUAAUUCUUGGACCCAGCAGAGACCCUAACAGAAUGGAGGUGUAAUUUUUCUACCCCUAGAGUAGAGCAUGGUACCAUGUAUAUUAUGUAAUGUUAAUAUAAUAUAUAGUUCAUACUCUGUAUUGUGUCUACUAAAUAUAGUAUGUUAAUUUGGAUGUAUACUAUUUAUGUAGUAUAUAGUUGAUUCAAAUAAAUACUGUUUAAUGAUUCCCUUCUUUUUCUUAAGAAUAUAUUAUGUGUCCCAAAGUCCUGGAAUUACAGGUAUGAGCCACCACGGAUCACCUGAGGUCAGGAGUUCAAGACCAGCCUGGCUAACAUGGCAAAACCCCGUUUCUACUAAAAAAUACAAAAAAAUUGGCCAGGCAUGGUGGCGUGCGCCUGUAGUCCCAGCUACUCAGGAGGCUAAGGCGCGAGAAUCGUUUGAACCCCGGCGGCGAAGGUUGCAGUGAGCCGAGAUGGUGCCACUGCACUCCAGCCUGGGUGACAGAGUGAGACUAUGUCUCAAAAAAAAAAAGAAUAUAUUAUGUGUAUGUUUCUAUAUAUGCACACAAAAUAUUUCUGUUUUGAAGGACUUAAUACUUGUAGCAUUUAGUCAGAAAAGACAUGUGCAACAGUUUAAGAAAUUACAUGCACAUUUUCACAUAGAUCUCAAGGUAAAAUCUAACGCACAGAUUUUUGUGUAGCACCUUUCAUACGGC